AGCUUCUAUGUCCACACUGGUAAGGCGCCACACUCGUUAUGUGGGGAUCAUCAGUUCGAAUCUGGGUGGAAGCA
rnacentral:tRNA from 1 species